UGCAGUCAGAGCGGAACGAGUUAUCUGAACCUUCGGGGAACGAUAACGGCGUCGAGCGGCGGACGGGUGAGUAAUGCCUAGGAAAUUGCCCUGAUGUGGGGGAUAACCAUUGGAAACGAUGGCUAAUACCGCAUGAUGCCUACGGGCCAAAGAGGGGGACCUUCGGGCCUCUCGCGUCAGGAUAUGCCUAGGUGGGAUUAGCUAGUUGGUGAGGUAAGGGCUCACCAAGGCGACGAUCCCUAGCUGGUCUGAGAGGAUGAUCAGCCACACUGGAACUGAGACACGGUCCAGACUCCUACGGGAGGCAGCAGUGGGGAAUAUUGCACAAUGGGCGCAAGCCUGAUGCAGCCAUGCCGCGUGUGUGAAGAAGGCCUUCGGGUUGUAAAGUACUUUCAGUCGUGAGGAAGGCGGCGUCGUUAAUAGCGGCGUCGUUUGACGUUAGCGACAGAAGAAGCACCGGCUAACUCCGUGCCAGCAGCCGCGGUAAUACGGAGGGUGCGAGCGUUAAUCGGAAUUACUGGGCGUAAAGCGCAUGCAGGUGGUUUGUUAAGUCAGAUGUGAAAGCCCGGGGCUCAACCUCGGAAUAGCAUUUGAAACUGGCAGACUAGAGUACUGUAGAGGGCGGUAGAAUUUCAGGUGUAGCGGUGAAAUGCGUAGAGAUCUGAAGGAAUACCGGUGGCGAAGGCGGCCCCCUGGACAGAUACUGACACUCAGAUGCGAAAGCGUGGGGAGCAUACAGGAUUAGAUACCCUGGUAGUCCACGCCGUUAACGAUGUCUACUUGGAGUGUGUGGCCUUGAGCCGUGGCUUACGGAGCUAAACGCGUAAGUAAACCGCCUGGGGAGUACGGUCGCAAGAAAUAAACUUCCAAUGAAUUGACGGGGCCCGCACAAGCGGUGGACCAUGUGGAUUAAUUCGAUUGCACGCGAAAGACCUUACCUACUCUUGACAUCCAGAGAACUUUCCAGAGAUGGAUUGGUGGCCU
rnacentral:rRNA from 1 species